rnacentral:rRNA from 1 species
AUUGAACGCUGGCGGCAGGCCUAACACAUGCAAGUCGAGCGGAUGAAGGGAGCUUGCUCCUGGAUUCAGCGGCGGACGGGUGAGUAAUGCCUAGGAAUCUGCCUGGUAGUGGGGGAUAACGUCCGGAAACGGGCGCUAAUACCGCAUACGUCCUGAGGGAGAAAGUGGGGGAUCUUCGGACCUCACGCUAUCAGAUGAGCCUAGGUCGGAUUAGCUAGUUGGUGGGGUAAAGGCCUACCAAGGCGACGAUCCGUAACUGGUCUGAGAGGAUGAUCAGUCACACUGGAACUGAGACACGGUCCAGACUCCUACGGGGGGCAGCAGUGGGGAAUAUUGGACAAUGGGCGAAAGCCUGAUCCAGCCAUGCCGCGUGUGUGAAGAAGGUCUGCGGAUUGUAAAGCACUUUAAGUUGGGAGGAAGGGCAGUAAGUUAAUACCUUGCUGUUUUGACGUUACCAACAGAAUAAGCACCGGCUAACUUC